GAUGAACGCUGGCGGCGUGCCUAAUACAUGCAAGUCGAGCGAACAGACGAGGAGCUUGCUCCUCUGACGUUAGCGGCGGACGGGUGAGUAACCCGUGGAUAACCUACCUAUAAGACUGGGAUAACUUCGGGAAACCGGAGCUAAUACCGGAUAACAUGUUGAACCGCAUGGUUCAACAGUGAAGGACGGUCUUGCUGUCACUUAUAGAUGGAUCCGCGCCGCAUUAGCUAGUUGGUAAGGUAACGGCUUACCAAGGCAACGAUGCGUAGCCGACCUGAGAGGGUGAUCGGCCACACUGGAACUGAGACACGGUCCAGACUCCUACGGGAGGCAGCAGUAGGGAAUCUUCCGCAAUGGGCGAAAGCCUGACGGAGCAACGCCGCGUGAGUGAAGAAGGUCUUCGGAUCGUAAAACUCUGUUAUUAGGGAAGAACAAAUGUGUAAGUAACUAUGCACGUCUUGACGGUACCUAAUCAGAAAGCCACGGCUAACUACGUG
rnacentral:rRNA from 1 species